rnacentral:rRNA from 1 species
GACGAACGCUGGCGGCGCGCCUAACACAUGCAAGUCGAACGAGCGAGAGAGAGCUUGCUUUCUCAAGCGAGUGGCGAACGGGUGAGUAACGCGUGAGGAACCUGCCUCAAAGAGGGGGACAACAGUUGGAAACGACUGCUAAUACCGCAUAAGCCCACAGCUCGGCAUCGAGCAGAGGGAAAAGGAGUGAUCCGCUUUGAGAUGGCCUCGCGUCCGAUUAGCUAGUUGGUGAGGUAACGGCCCACCAAGGCGACGAUCGGUAGCCGGGCUGAGAGGUUGAACGGCCACAUUGGGACUGAGACACGGCCCAG